UCUUUGGUUAUCUAGCUGUGUG
rnacentral:miRNA from 2 species